rnacentral:sRNA from 2 species
AAUUAGGGCUUCUAGGGUUCCGGUUUAAAUCCCAGGGUUUAAAUGACUGGUCCGAGAGAAGCAAGCCAGCCUGAGAUUGGUUUCAGUAUCAGCAAUUAAGGUUUGGUUACACGGCGGGAAAAAAGCCCGGGAGGU